AGAAACUUCCUUUCUCUACCAUAGUACAUGGCCUGAGCAACCACGGACUGAAAACACUCCCUGGUUUAUUUCUUCAAUUCAUGCUCCCAGAGAUUUUGGUCACAGAGACAGACACUGGACAACUACAGUGGACUUCUUCAAGGGCAAUAGUGGAGUUUGAACCUGAAUGGGAGUGGUGAGGAAUUUGACAGCCACUGCCUCAAGGGAAGGUAUUCUAGGCCAAGGACUCAGCCACUGAGAACAUCAGACAGGCCUGCGUGUGGCAUUUGUGAGGAGCGCAAGGAAGACAGUGGCUGGAGCAGAGUGAGGCAGGGACAUGUCCAGAAGACCAGGUCACCUGGAAUCCCCUCUACCACCAGGGGGCUUUGCAAAAGAGCUGUAGGAGUGAGCCGAGCUGGCUUAACUGCUGCCAGGGUGAAGAUGGAUUGUGGGAGGACAAGACUGUGAAGGAAGCUUCUGGACUCAUUUGACUGGUUGGGCUCAGAACAUGGAAGGGGGUAGGUGGGUUUUCGUGUAUUGAUACCACAGUCUCCCAGCUAGACAAGGCGAGGAAGGAGUCGGGAGUGACUGGUGAUCUUGGCUGUGUUGGGAAUUGGUUCCAAUGCUUUGACUUAUUUUGGCUCCCAAAAGCCGUGCUUCCAGCCAGACCUGAGAGUUCCUGUCCCCAGCUGGCUUCGACUGAUAAUGAAGAACUGCCAUAUACUCAGGCAAGGGAGAGAGAGAGAAGAUCACCAUGAGGGGAAGCAGAAAAAUGAAACUUAAAGGCCCACCAGCAUGUGAGAAUCUGGGAAAGUGUUCCAUAUGGGCCCCUUCCCUGACUGGGUCUAGGGUAGCAGAGAUGAAAUACAGAUUUUAAAAGAUGUGUUUGCUAGCUGCAGGGAGGUUUAGAAGAGCUCAGCCAUUGUCAAGGCAUAUCAAAAUUUGUGUGUGUGAGUGUGUGUGCGCGCGCGCGCCUUUCAUUCACACAUCCAGAGAGCUCUUGGGCUGGUGCAGCACAAGCACGACCUGCCGGGAGCCAAAGCAGUUUAAUUCAUCGCUACAGGACUGAGCGCUAGAAGUCUGCCAUCACAUUAGCUAUCUCGGAGGCCACUAUGGAAGCAGACUUGGGGAGACAGUGAGGCAAGGGGUUCAACUUAGGGCAUUUUGUGAAAACGUCUCAACUUCCAAAUGGAGGCGUCGGACAGACAGCUGGAAAAUGGGAGGACAAGACAAACCCCACACUGAGACAUUCGUGACACAAGGGAGAGAAGAAAUAGCCACUAACGAGACAGACACAGCAACCUGAACUCGGCUUUGUCAGCUACACCAAACCAUGCCAGAAACUUCUGAUGGGUCUCACUAGGAACCCUACUUUGGCCCUAAGUUUGUAAUCCUCCUGCCUCAGCCUCCUGAGUGCUGAAUCCACUGAAUGGCAGGGAAGAAGCUGCAGCAUAGAAACUAUCUGGUUUCCACCUCCCUGCAGAACCAGAGCCACAGCAGCAAGCCCCAGCUCACCUCAGGCUCUGACAAAGAGAUGCUGAUGAUGGGGCACUAGGCUAUGGGAACCACUGACCAGUGCAACUAGAAACCUUGGCCCUCAACCCGCUCCCUGGAGCACCAGCAGUAAUAGUCGGUCCUACCAGCUCUGCAUCAUGUUCCAGGCCUGUGUCGUGGUGCUCAAGCUCCUCAUCUCGAAACUGCUUAAUGACCUGGGAAGACAAGGAAUCACAAGCCCAGUGCCUCCCAUUGGAGCACACAGCCAAAAGUGAUUCCUGAGGGCUUCAGCAGAGCAAUGGGAAGAACCCACCUGAAUGACAGGGCCAACACUGGUCCGUCCAAGCACAGCCAUCUGCCCUGCAUAGAUGCGGUUUGCU